rnacentral:rRNA from 1 species
AAAUUGAAGAGUUUGAUCAUGGCUCAGAUUGAACGCUGGCGGCAGGCCUAACACAUGCAAGUCGAGCGGUAGCACAGAGAGCUUGCUCUCGGGUGACGAGCGGCGGACGGGUGAGUAAUGUCUGGGAAACUGCCUGAUGGAGGGGGAUAACUACUGGAAACGGUAGCUAAUACCGCAUAACGUCGCAAGACCAAAGUGGGGGACCUUCGGGCCUCAUGCCAUCAGAUGUGCCCAGAUGGGAUUAGCUAGUAGGUGGGGUAACGGCUCACCUAGGCGACGAUCCCUAGCUGGUCUGAGAGGAUGACCAGCCACACUGGAACUGAGACACGGUCCAGACUCCUACGGGAGGCAGCAGUGGGGAAUAUUGCACAAUGGGCGCAAGCCUGAUGCAGCCAUGCCGCGUGUGUGAAGAAGGCCUUCGGGUUGUAAAGCACUUUCAGCGGGGAGGAAGGCGAUAAGGUUAAUAACCUUGUCGAUUGACGUUACCCGCAGAAGAAGCACCGGCUAACUCCGUGCCAGCAGCCGCGGUAAUACGGAGGGUGCAAGCGUUAAUCGGAAUUACUGGGCGUAAAGCGCACGCAGGCGGUCUGUCAAGUCGGAUGUGAAAUCCCCGGGCUCAACCUGGGAACUGCAUUCGAAACUGGCAGGCUAGAGUCUUGUAGAGGGGGGUAGAAUUCCAGGUGUAGCGGUGAAAU